rnacentral:rRNA from 1 species
UACGUAGGGUGCGAGCGUUACUCGGAAUUACUGGGCGUAAAGCGUGCGCAGGCGGUUUUGUAAGUCAGAUGUGAAAUCCCCGGGCUUAACCUGGGAAUGGCAUUUGGGACUGCAAGGCUCGAGUGCGGCAGAGGAGACUGGAAUUCCUGGUGUAGCAGUGAAAUGCGCAGAUAUCAGGAGGAACACCGGUGGCGAAGGCGGGUCUCUGGGCCGAUACUGACGCUGAGGAGCGAAAGCGUGGGGAGCGAACAGG